GUAAAGGCGCACUGAUUUGGGGAAGCCCAAGUCAACCUUUAAACAAGUCUCAUUCUUUAAAAGACUGGUGAUAAAGAUGGAUAAGCACAUGUUUGUCAAGUAGACAGGAGGGGUCAGUGGCAUCUGGGCCCAGGCAGCUCUGAGGAGGGAUCGGACAUCCCCACAACCCAGAUGUGUCAAAAGUGGAUGCAAAGCUCAUCUACAAUGAAGGCGAAUCUGAAUGUUUGAAAGGCUCCUGAAGAGAAACCACUGCAUAUACAUGUUUCAUGAAGGAGGCUCAUCCAGAGCAUAAGGCUGACGUGCAGGUACACAGCGGAGACGCGGACAUCACCGCACCUGGCCAGAAGCCUAGCUUCCUCGAGGAAAGUCUCUGGCUGUCAGCACCCCUGGGCAGGGAUAUGGCCUCAAGCUGGCUAGAGGCCAGGCGGCAGUGCCUCCGUUUGCUGAAGACGAGGGGCUUCUUGCUGCUGAAGCUCUCGGCCGCCGUCUUGGCCGUGCUUCUCUUCUGUGAAUUUCUGAUCUACUACCUUGUUAUCUUCCGGUGUAGCUGGCCCGAGCUGAAAACCCCUGAAGAUGCCGGCACCCCUGGGGCCCCCAAGGCCCCUGAACCUGUGCUCAGGGCCAUGUUCUUGGCUGACACCCACCUGCUCGGGGCCAUAAGAGGCCACUGGCUGGACAAAUUACGGAGGGAGUGGCAGAUGGAGCGAGCCUUCCAGACAGCGCUGUGGCUGCUGCAGCCGGAAGUUGUCUUCAUCCUGGGGGACAUCUUCGACGAGGGGAAGUGGAGCUCCCCCGAGGCCUGGGCGGACGAUGUGGGGCGCUUCUGGAAGGUGUUCCGACACCCGCCCCACGUGCAGCUGCGGGCCGUGGCUGGCAACCAUGACAUCGGCUUCCACUACCAGAUGGACACAUACAGAAUAAAACGAUUUGAGAAAGUUUUCAACCCUGAAAGGCUGUUUUCUUGGAAAGGAAUUAAUUUCGUGAUGAUCAACAGUGUCGCGCUGGAAGGGGAUGGCUGUGACAUCUGCUCCAGGGCAGAGGCUGAGCUCCUGGAAAUCUCUCACUGGCUGAACUGCUCUCGGGAGGAGCAUCGCCCCCGCGGGUGUGGAGACAGGCAGUGGCUGCCAGCCUCGGCCCCCAUCCUGCUACAGCACUUCCCGCUUUACCGGAAAAAUGAUGCCAACUGCUCCGGGGAGGAUGCAGCACCCCUCAACGAGAAGUACACCCCCUUCAAGGAGCGCUAUGAUGUGCUGUCCUGGGAGGUCUCGCGGAAGCUGCUGUGGUGGCUGCGGCCGCGCCUGAUCCUCAGCGGCCACACGCACAGCGCCUGCGAGGUCCAGCACAGGGCAGGCACCCUGGAGGUCAGUGUGCCAUCUUUCAGUUGGAGGAACAGAAACAACCCCAGUUUCAUCAUGGGCAGCAUCACGCCCAUGGACUACGCCCUUGCCAAGUGCUACCUGCCGUGUGAGGACAUGGUUCUGACCACUUACUGUGUGGCAGCCGGGUGCCUCAUGCUCAUCAUGUUAAUCCCCACUAGGCUUGUGUCUGUACCUUUUCAUUUUGGUCAGAGGGUGCUCAGAAAAUUUAAGACCAUGUGAGUAGCAGCAGACUUUUGCUCUCAGCAGUAGUAAGUCCCAAAGCCAAAAAAAAAUAAACUUUGGGAAGUGCUCAUGGACGGUGAGACUACAGUGGGCCGUGAUCACCACUCCUGGGUUCCGGAUCACUUGUAUCAGGCCCUGCAGGAUCAGUGUUGUUCCCAAGCUGCAAAAAUGGGACCUGUCUCUACACCGGGUCUGUCUGCUUGUUUAUCAAGUAUGUGUGUUAUCAGAGACUCUGUACAGUGUGCAGAAGCUGCGUGUGAUCACUGGCAUGCACUGGACAGCCUCCCUUCCCCAGGACUCUUCCCCAGGAUGGAGGGCCAGCUGUACACAUAUGUGGGGUCUGUGUCUGUCCUCCUGUGAAUGUUCUCAAGUUUCUGUUUUAUAAAGUCGUGUGCUUAAAAUAAAAUACAGAUGCUACAAGC
rnacentral:lncRNA from 1 species